rnacentral:rRNA from 1 species
CCCUUAGACGUUCUGGGCCGCACGCGCGCUACACUGUUCGACGCAGCGAGUCUUAACCUUGACCGAAAGGUUUGGGUAAUCUUCAGCAAAGUCGAACGUGAUGGGGAUCGAUCAUUGCAAUUAUUGAUCGUGAACGAGGAAUUCCUAGUAAGUGCAAGUCAUCAGCUUGCGCUGAUUACGUCCCUGCCCUUUGUACACACCGCCCGUCGCUACUACCGAUUGAAUGGUUUAGUGAGAUCUCUGGAUUGACGCUGGCUAGGGGGCGACCCUUGGCCAGACUGUUGAGAAACUGCUCAAACUUGAUCAUUUAGAGGAAGUAAAAGUCGUAACA